UUCCCUUCAAUGACUUAUAAAAUGUGAUGGCAUUUUACAAAAAGAAUAUUCUACAUGACGUGAGCUGAAAAAUUCUUGGCUAAGAGUAGUUAAUGUACACAGUGGUUAAGACCUGUGGUGUUAGAGCUGGACAGAUGUGCGUUUAAAUUCUGGAUACUCUACCUGUGGUCCUCUGUCAGGUCUUGUUAGUCCUUUGGAGACUUAGAAAAGCUGAGGAAGAACCACCUAGUUCACCCUAUCCCCCAGAUGCAGACACCAAGGCACUUUGAG
rnacentral:lncRNA from 10 species